AUAAUAGAUGCUCAGUGAACAUGUAUGGAUAACUCAUGCCGUCCCCCUGUCCAUCUACACUGACUCUUGCAGGUAUUGCCUCCCAGCCUUCAUCUUUCCACUGCCAUCUAGCCUUCAGCUCUGCUCAUUCUGCCCUGUGUUCCCUUCUGGAAGAUGCUCUAACUGCUUUCUUUCCUCUGCUACUCAGGAAACCACUAUUGUUGCGGUUGUCCCCAUUAUGCCAGAGGAACCUGAUGUCCCUGCUGAUGGCUGUUCGGCCAUCACUGCCUGAAAGCGGGCUCCUCUCUGUACUGCAGAUUGCCCAGCAGGACCCAGUCUCUGACCCUGAUGUCUGGCUCCGGGCCCAGGGGGAGAUGCUGCGAAGGGACCUAGGGUUUGGGGUCUCCGCUGAAGCAGCCUCCCCACUGUCCAAAAGGUGCCAGAGACAGCUCCAAGGCCUGUGUAGGCAGCUGGGCCAGGGGGGCAGGAACUUGAAAUUGCCCAAGGCUCCAGACCCUAAAGAAGAAGAGGAGGACAGGGACUCCCAGCAGCCUGGGAAACGCAGAAAGGAGCCAGAGGAAGAGCCUGCCAGUCCUGGGGAGAGGGCCCCCAAAAGGUUCCGGUGUUUGGAAAGGGAAGAAGAGGAAGAAGAAGAUCAUGGGGAAGAGAGGCCUGAACAUGAGUCAUUAGAAUCCCUGGAAGAUGGAGGAGGUACAUCACCCAUUAAGAACCAGCCCAUCAUGGGAACAGAGACCAGUGAGGCUGGUCAGAGUCUGGAGGAUGCUAAGGGCCCAGCUGAGAGCUUGGAGUUGCCCAAAGCUAUCCAGGACCAGAUUCCCAGGCUGCUGCAGCUACUGAAGACAUUCGGGGAGGGGUUGGAGGGGUUGGAGGACAUCCCCCCAGCUGAGCUGCAGCUUCUCCACGAAUGCAGUCCCAGUCAGCAGAUGGACCUGCUGUGUGCUCAGCUGCAGCUCCCCCAGCUCUCAGACACAGGUCUUCUGCAGCUCUGCACCUGGCUGCUGGCCCUUUCGCCAGAUCUUGGCUUCAGCAAUGCUACUGUGCUGACCAGGAGCCUCUUUCUUGGACGGAUCCUCUCCCUGACUGCCUCAGCCUCUCGUUUGCUCAUGACUGCCCUGACCUCCUUCUGUGCCAAGUAUACCUACCCUGUCUGCAGAGCCCUCCUUGGCCCCGUGCUCCAGGCCCCAGGCACAGGUCCAGCUCAAAUGGAGUUACUGUGUUGCCUUAUGAAGGACGAGUCCCUGGAGCCAGACACACAGGUUCUAAUGCUGGAGUGAGUGUGCAGGCCUCCAUGCUGUCCUCACUCUCACUUUAUCCCCCAGGCCAGGCCUGCUCCUGUCACUUGGGUUAGAGCCAGCUGCUCCAGACUCUGUGCCUCAAAGAUAGUGCAUGGCACAGCCAGUGCCAUCUCUCAGUUGCCUGAACCCAGCUUAUGCCUUCAAUCCUAUGGGCCCAUGCAAGUUGCCAUCCCAUGUACCUUCCCGAGCCCAGGCUUGCACUCUUCCCCAGUUCUGCCUCUGCCAGUUGUGAGGGCUGGCUUUGUGCCAGGUGCCUUGGAGAAUGCAGAGAAGAGGCUGGUGGUCCCUGCUUUGAAUAGUUCACAGCGUAGUUUUAACAUGGCACAAUGGUUAAGAGGACUGGCUCUGGAGUCAGAAAGAUAUGGUUUCAAAUCUCAGCCUUGCCUUUUAAGCGUGUGAACUCAAACAAGUUACUUCAUCUCUCUGACCCUCAGUUUCCUCAUAUGAUGAUAUUUACUUUGUAGGAUUUUUCUAGAUAUUAAAUGUGGUGAUGCAUAUAACAAGUUAGCACAAUAUUUGGCAUCUAGUAAGUGCUCAAAUAUUUGUAUUAAAUUUGAGUAUUAAAAUUGGAGAGUCAAGGUACAGAUGUGAAACAAUGAGUAAGACCUCGUUGGACACAGACAUGAAAUAUAAAAUGCUAAGGAUAAUAUGAGAAGGGAACAGCUGCAAAAAUAAUAACAGCCGCCGCUCAUUGAGCACUUUGUGCUUUAGAUUCUUAGUCUUUAUGCAAUCCUGUGAGGUAGGUGCUGCCGCUGCCUUAGAGAUGGAAAAACUGCUCAGAGUGGUUAAGGGACUUGACACAGACAGCAAGUGGUAAAGCUGGGAUCAAAUCUAAGUCUAUCCACCCAAGAAGCCACCCUGUUUCCACUGUACAUGCUGCCUUUUUAAACGAGGCGAGGACCGUGCAGUGGAACAGGAAGUGCAGCUGGAGUGGACGUGGUGUGGGCUGGGCUCUGUGGGGAGGCUCACUUCCUCUAGGAAGCCUCAUGCAUGUCAGCUCACUCCAGCAUCCCCUCUUCUCUGUCUUCUCCUUUUGUUCUCAGGAUGCACUCUUGACUCCUGGUUAUUUUUUAGGAGACCUUCGUACAUCACUACCAAAUCCUUUAUUGUCAGCUCCAGGGGAUCUUGGGGUUGUGACCUUCCUGGCACAUGUAUCGGCUCUGCAGCAGUGGCUACUGGGGGUGCUGCCAGCAUCAGGGGGACUUUGACUAUUCCUCUAUUGGCUGGGGAUCUUGGCUGUCCCCAGGGCCUUGCCCUGCUAUGGGGAAUAGCAGCAGUGGAUAUCCAGGCUUGGGUGGGAGGCUGGAUUUUUCUCACCAGGGCCUC